CCUGUCGAGGCGGGAAGUGAGAUAGGAGUAUCUUUUGAAGGUGUGGGGCACCAGUCGGGCAGUUUCUGUGGCCUUUCAGUCACUUUCAUUUGAAGUUGGAGGAGACUUGUCCUGCUGGAGUCUGUACAAAGGACGCUGCUGCAGAACAAAUGAAACCCUGGGCUCCUGCAGCAUAUACCAGUUUUAAUUUAACAGCCCGCACCGAGACAUUGUCCAGUGUGGUCCAGGCACUGUGGGCUUUUUGGUGUGUACUGUGACUUUGUAGUGAAGCUGACCCGUCAGAACAGCAGCCUCUGUGUUACAAAACCCCCAGCUUUACAAAUGAACCACUUAGCAACAGUAACUAGGGGCUGCAUGGGGUUUAGUGAAUGGGGUCAGUUUUUUGAACCUCGAGUCAUUUUUUUCUUAUGUAAUCUUACUGACAAUAGCAGGAAAAGUCUCUCUUGCUAUCAUUUUUUUGCAAGAGAAACUUCUUGAGAUCCAACUUGUAAGCUAUGGAGCCAUCUUUUAUACUGGAUAAUGAGACUCACCACCACAAACCCUGAAAGCCAUUUUACAUCCAUAUCCACAAAGUGCCAUUUGUUAAAUGGGCCCAGCUUUAUUCCACGGAGUAGAUCAUAAGCGUUAUAGCAUGAUGCCUCGGGGUCCUACGACUUUAAAUGAGACAAUUUUCAACAUUAGCUGCAAUUCAUAACUUGUAAUAAACCCAAUGCUCAAUCCUCAGUAAGUGCCUCCUCUUUAGAUUUGAUUGGUUUGAGGAUUUAAAGAUUUAAACACAGGAAGGUUCGUGAGGAUCAUGCUUUAGAUUAGCGGCCCAGGACUCUAUUAGACCUUUUAUUUUCUCUCUGCACACACACAUACAGAGAAAAUGUAAACCUUCUACUGAGUAAAGCCUCAGGCUAAUCAAUGACGUUAAUUGACCAAUUAAAAAGAGACAAAGAGCAAAAGGAGGAAGCCACAAAAACAGAUGUCAUCUGAAUACAGGCAAUAUAUCGUGCGCUCCCUUAUUUGAAAUUGUAACAGGUCUGAUUUCAAACUCUGUCUUGAAAUCAAUGUCAAACACUUAACACAGUCGUUUUAGGUAUUCCAGUCAAGGGCGUAGGUUUGCGGACAUGUCCUCACCAAUAUUUGGAGAACGCCAGAUUGUCCCGACCAAUAUUAGAGACGGGACAAUGUGUGCGAACGCUGUGAGGAGAGCGAGCGAGCGGAUUUUACGAGCAUCAGUGAACGCAUUACAGCCGAGCAGAAAUAUCGCCGCGAGUCACGGAGGAGAGAGUGAGAGAGAGCGGAGGUGAUGUGCUGAUCUGACAACACAGUGCUUGGUACCUUCUGGCUGAUGAGGUUGACCCACGGGGAUGUGCAGUUGCUGAAGUCAGGUCCCUGGGGGUCCCAGUAUCCCUCUGGGCCCAGGCACAUGUAUGAGGCCACGCCUGGAGAGAGACGACAGUUAGUUACUGAGCAAAAAAUGUAUAAAAAACUCUAAGUGAACUAAAGUUGCAGUCCUAUGUGUUUUAUAGCAUGUGUGUCAAUGUGCGUGAACUCAAAUUCAUUCAUCACAUUUUCAUCCUCUCGUCAUCCUCCAUCAUCCUCCAUCAUCAGGUGAUAGACUACGCAACGCUGUCAACCUUGUCAACUAACGACGACUUUUACUGUGGACAGAGCAUCUUGGCCACUACACCCUGCUUGGUCUUCGGCCAAGAGAUGUCCAUCAUCACCAGUGGAUUGCAGUACUCCACCCUGAUGUUGGGAAGCUUGGAGGAGGGCGGCGCUCUGUCUUCGUCUUCGGGGACCAAACCCUCUACGAGCGUCUGGACUGGGGCCACCACUGUCGUCGUCGUCCUCGGCCACUGAGC